rnacentral:rRNA from 1 species
AUACGUAGGGUGCGAGCGUUGUCCGGAAUUACUGGGCGUAAAGAGCUCGUAGGUGGUUUGUCGCGUCGUCUGUGAAAUUCCGGGGCUUAACUCCGGGCGUGCAGGCGAUACGGGCAUAACUUGAGUACUGUAGGGGAGACUGGAAUUCCUGGUGUAGCGGUGAAAUGCGCAGAUAUCAGGAGGAACACCGGUGGCGAAGGCGGGUCUCUGGGCAGUAACUGACGCUGAGGAGCGAAAGCAUGGGUAGCGAACAGGAUUAGAUACCCUGGUAGUCCAUGCCGUAAACGGUGGGCGCUAGGUGUAGGGGUCUUCCACGACUUCUGUGCCGUAGCUAACGCAUUAAGCGCCCCGCCUGGGGAGUACGGCCGCAAGGCUAAAACUCAAAGGAAUUGGCGGG